rnacentral:rRNA from 1 species
AGCGAACGCUGGCGGCAGGCUUAACACAUGCAAGUCGAGCGCCCCGCAAGGGGAGCGGCAGACGGGAGAGUAACACGUGGGAACAUACCUUUUGGUUCGGAACAACUGAGGGAAACUUCAGCUAAUACCGGAUAAGCCCUUACGGGGAAAGAUCUAUCGCCGAAAGAUUGGCCCGCGUCUGAUUAGCUAGUUGGUGAGGUAACGGCUCACCAAGGCGACGAUCAGUAGCUGGUCUGAGAGGAUGAUCAGCCUCACUGGGACUGAGACACGGCCCAGACUCCUACGGGAGGCAGCAGUGGGGAAUAUUGGACAAUGGGCGCAAGCCUGAUCCAGCCAUGCCGCGUGAGUGAUGAAGGCCUUAGGGUUGUAAAGCUCUUUUGCCCGGGAAGAUAAUGACGGUACCGGGAGAAUAAGCCCCGGCUAACUUCGUGCCAGCAGCCGCCGUAA